AUAUAAACUUGUUUUAGACAAAUUUAGUGUCUUAGUUAACUUCUGAUUAAUUAUAUUAAUAGGUUUUAGACAAAUUUAGUGUCUUAGUUAACUUCUGAUUAAGUACAUAUACUAGUUGCAAACAAAUCUAAUAUGUUAAAUAACUUAUGAUUAAUUAUAUGAACUUGUUUUAGACAAGUGUAAUGUUCUAAUUAACUUCUAGUUAAGCAUAUAUACUUCUUUUAAACAAAUUUAAUGUGUUAGUGCACCUAUGGUUAAGUAUAUUUACUUGUUUUAGACAAAUCUAAUGUGUUAGUUAAUUCUUGAUAAUAUGUCAGUCUAUGUUAACAAAUCAUUGAAGUUGGCUUCAUUCAAACCAAGUGUUUCUGUUGAUUUCUGACUCAUCAGCUUAUUUCAACCUAAUUACUGUGUCUAUUAACUUCUGAUAGUAUUUCAGGUGGCUUCAGACAAAUCUGUUUUGCCAGUUCACUUCUUAUGUAUCGUAUUACUUUAGUUUAUUAUGUCUGUGAUCUCUUGAUGUGUUGACUAAUUUCUGUCUCUUCCAAGCAUGCAGUUAACAAAUAUGAAGAAAUAAACCCCUCUUUCUCAGAUUCAAGGGAGUGUAAACUGCUUAAGUUUCGCUUUCCAGAUGAAGUGUCGUUUAUUUCUUGCCAGCAGUUUAAAGGUUUCAAGAAGGUGAUAAUGAAAUGACUAGUAGAUCCAGACUGUGACUCCCAGAAGUGCUUCUUUACCUUGAAUUGUUUGUCAAGUUUGUGACCUUGACCAACCAAAUCAUGAGCGAGUUCAUUGUGAAUUGUGAGGGGAUAUACCAAGCAGUUUAAAAUCACGUGCAACAAAUAAAUUCUAUACAUACAAUACUCAAAGCUACCUGAAUUAUCAAGCAAAUAAAGACGUAAAUCGAUUUGUUUGUAAAAAAAAACAUGGCUACUUACGAGUGGUUGAGUUAUUAUGUUUGAUGAGGACAAAUGUA